GGCGCCCUUAGGCCUUAGUUGACGGCUGUUGCUCUUCUGUGAAGUGUACUAUUAAGUUUCGCUGUGUGGUCCAUAAAUUCGUUUGAAUUAUACAAAAUCUUGCUUGCAACGUAUCACAACACUCGGGAAAUAGGUUAGUUCUUCAUAAAUGAUGAUAAGUGAAAGAGAAAUGGCAGUACGUCAUGUACACGCGAGAAAUGAUUUCUAAGUAAUGACAGCAGAACAGUAGUACUUCAUAAAGGUUCCCUUGGAGCUCUUCACAGUAAGCCAAGCCGUUAACAUCCAGAGAAACCCGGCGCCCAGAUGUGAAGAGAGACAAAGAAAGGAAAGAAAUAAGAUGGCUGGAGAAGCUCGCCUAUCGUCAAUCCCAUAGCAGACUCAGUCCUGUUCAGACCUGGGAAAUCUUACUGGGCGGGGUCAAGACUUCACUCUCCCACUAAACUCAUUACCCCAUGCCCGGCUCUGUGCAUUCAA